UGGAGUAUGUGGUUAAUUCGAUGCAACGCGAAGAACCUUACCUGGUCUUGACAUCCCGGAGACCCUUAGGAAACUAGGGGUGCUUCCAUCUGGAAGAAUCUGGAGACAGGUGCUGCAUGGCUGUCGUCAGCUCGUGUCGUGAGAUGUUGGGUUAAGUCCCGCAACGAGCGCAACCCUUGCCUUUAGUUGCCAGCAGUUCGGCUGGGCACUCUAAAGGGACUGCCGGUGUUAAACCGGAGGAAGGUGGGGAUGACGUCAAGUCCUCAUGGCCUUUAUGACCAGGGCUACACACGUACUACAAUGGCCGAUACAAAGGGCAGCGACACUGCGAGGUGAAGCCAAUCCCGUAAAAUCGGUCUCAGUCCGGAUUGGAGUCUGCAACUCGACUCCAUGAAGUUGGAAUCGCUAGUAAUCGUGGAUCAGCAUGCCACGGUGAAUACGUUCCCGGGCCUU
rnacentral:rRNA from 1 species